rnacentral:rRNA from 1 species
GAUGAACGCUAGCUACAGGCUUAACACAUGCAAGUCGAGGGGUAACAGGAGAAAAGCUUGCUUUUCUUGUUGACGACCGGCGCACGGGUGAGUAACGCGUAUCCAACCAGCCUAUAACUAGGGAAUAACCUUGCGAAAGUAAGACUAAUACCCUAUGAUUUCCUUUGAUGACAUCAGAUUAGGAAUAAAGAUUUAUCGGUUAUAGAUGGGGAUGCGUCUGAUUAGCUUGUUGGCGGGGUAACGGCCCACCAAGGCAACGAUCAGUAGGGGUUCUGAGAGGAAGGUCCCCCACAUUGGAACUGAGACACGGUCCAAACUCCUACGGGAGGCAGCAGUGAGGAAUAUUGGUCAAUGGGCGGAAGCCUGAACCAGCCAAGUAGCGUGCAGGAUGACGGCCCUAUGGGUUGUAAACUGCUUUUAUACAGGAAUAAAGUUAGCCACGUGUGGUUAUUUGUAGGUACUGUAUGAAUAAGGACCGGCUAAUUCCGUGCCAGCAGCCGCAGUAA